CCUGUACUCGCCGACCAGAGUCACCAGGGGGGAGGGACCCAGAGCAGAGAAGCAUCUCUUUCCAAAACGGAUGUCACCUCCUGUGCCCCCUUCAGUCACUUUCUAAGCCACUCAGUGCUCCUUUCCCCUUCCCCAAUGCCAGGCUCAGAAGGUGUGGAGUUUUAGGAAGACUGUUCCCUGGGGCUCUGAGGACAUCUGAGAAGAGAUUCUUGAAUCUGUCCCAGGUAACAAGCUCCAAAGAAAAUGCUCAGGAAUUUUUUUCUCCCGUAACCCCUGCCAAAGUUUUUUGUUACGUGACCGCACUUACAUCCUUACUUGCAAGCGUGCUUGUACCUUCCGUUCUUUGGGCAGUUUUAGGAAGAAACACAGAGUGCAUUCCGUGUGUUAUCUGCCCAGAAUGAUGGAUUGGAUUUGGGCGUAAGUGCUUUUAUUUUUCUGAAGACUCAAGGAAUUGGACAUUCAGCCAGAUGUUCUGUGCCUCGUUAGAAGCUGGUCUUGCUCAGUUUGAAACCAAGGAGGAGCUGAAUUUCCUGAGAAGAUACAAAGGCGCUCCUGACCACUGGAUCGGCCUUAGCAGAGAAUCACCACGUCACGUUUGGAAGUGUACAGACAGCAGUGCAUAUAACGCCCCGUUUGCCAUCACAGGGAUUGGGGAAUAUGCCUAUCUGAGUGACAACGGAAUUAGCAGCGCCAGGACCUACACAGAAAGGAACUGGAUUUGUAGCAAGACAAUAUUAAGUAGUUAGGGUCAAAGAGCUGAAGUCCCGCAGAGAGUGAAGACUGAGGUGCAGAUCAUCUUUGGUUGUGCCCAGUGAGCAGCGAUCUGCAGCCAUAAGGAAGUCCUUUGCUUGGCUCAUCUCGAGUCUUAAUUUAAACAUCACCUUCCUUGGAGGAACCACCCAUCAAUACAUAAAUGUACACACGCUUGCUGACUGAGAAUUACUCACAGUCUACCACCAGGCAGCCUUUCUUGGGAUAUGUGGUUCAGACCACCUCUCAUGGAACAGGAUGCUCAUCACACCGUAAGCUGUGGUCAUGAUGAGGCAGGAAGCCCCAUGAAAAGACCAGCAGGACCCCCAGGCAGGGCCACUACUCUCCUGCCAGCACCAUCUGGUUCCUUGACCGGGAAGCUCUAUCUCACUUUUUGCCUCUGGAACGGCUUACUUACCCCUAAAAUUCUAUUGGUUCCCUGAGCUCACUUCUGAUUGGUUGUUUCCUUCACUCCCGAUUGGUUAUUACUCUCACUUCUGAUUGGUCCAUUUGUUGUACUUCAUUUGCAUGGAGCUCACGCCUGAUUGGGUAUUUCUCUCACUCCUGAUUGGUCUAUUUCUACAAAGCUUAUUCCUAGUUGGUCAACUUGUUAUACUUUAUUUGCAUAUGAUAAAGGCCUGUGUAAACCUACAGAUGGGGUCCAGAGCUUGGAGUGUUAACUCCUGUGGGCCUGCUGGCAUAAUAAAGCCGAGUUCUCGAACUCUCUGAGUGUUGCUUGGUCUCUCGCUCAGAUCCAGAUUGCUGUCACAACAGAGCUGUAACACCGAGCUGUAACACAUUUUUCUGCAACAAUGAGAGCUGGGACAAACUGGGCGCCCACUCGAGGAGAGUGGCCGGAGGCACACAGUGGGUGCAGAAGUAGGAUUUACCUGUGGGGAGAAACUACAGUGCUUUUCCUUCACCAUGUUGUCUGUGCUUUGUGUACUCCCUAGCGGAUGGUGGGGAUGCUAUUAUUUUGUAUUAAAUAAAAUACAUUUUUGAGUGACAUA